rnacentral:rRNA from 1 species
GACGUAGGGCGCGAGCGUUGUCCGGAUUUACUGGGCGUAAAGGGCUCGUAGGCGGCCAACUAAGUCAUACGUGAAAUCCCUCAGCUUAACUGGGGAACUGCGUGUGAUACUGGAUGGCUUGGAUUUGGGAGAGGGAUGCGGAAUUCCAGGUGUAGCGGUGAAAUGCGUAGAUAUCUGGAGGAACACCGGUGGCGAAGGCGGCAUCCUGGACCAAUAUUGACGCUGAGGAGCGAAAGCCAGGGGAGCAAACGG